rnacentral:rRNA from 1 species
CGUGUAGGCGGAAGGGCAAGUACCUUGUGAAAUCCCCGGGCUCAACCCGGGAAUGGCUGGGGUAUACUGUCUUUCUUGAGGCAGGUAGGGGUCACUGGAACCUUAGGUGGAGCGGUGAAAUGCGUAGAUAUCUAAGGGAACGCCUGUGGCGAAAGCGGGUGACUGGGCCUGUCCUGACGCUGAGACGCGAAAGCGUAGGGAGCAAACGGGAUUAGAUACCCCGGUAGUCUACGCCGUAAACGAUGCGCACUAGGUUCGAAGGUCCCUGACGACACUCGAGCCGAAACAAAAGCGAUAAGUGCGCCGCCUGGGGAGUACGGCCGCAAGGCUAAA